rnacentral:rRNA from 1 species
CACGGGGGGGCCUAACGUUAUUCAUCAUAACUGGGCGUAAAGGGUACGUAGGUGGUUUAUUAAGUCUUAAAUAAAAAAUCUAAGCGUAACUUAGAAAUUAUUUAUUAUACUGAUAUUCUAGAGGUUAAUAGGAGAAAGUUAUAUUUUUGCAGGAGGGGUAAAAUUCUAAGAUAGCAAAAAGAUAACCGUUUAGCGAAGGCGACUUUCUAUAUUAAUGCUGACAUUGAGGUACGAAGGCAUGGGAAUCAAACGGG